rnacentral:pre_miRNA from 1 species
AGUUGGCAUAGAGUAGUACUGUAUGGAAUAUGAUAAUUAUUGUACUUCCUAUGACAGCUUA